GACGAACGCUGGCGGCGUGCUUAACACAUGCAAGUCGAACGGAAAGGCCCUGCUUUUGUGGGGUGCUCGAGUGGCGAACGGGUGAGUAACACGUGAGUAACCUGCCCUUGACUUUGGGAUAACUUCAGGAAACUGGGGCUAAUACCGGAUAGGAGCUCCUGCUGCAUGGUGGGGGUUGGAAAGUUUCGGCGGUUGGGGAUGGACUCGCGGCUUAUCAGCUUGUUGGUGGGGUAGUGGCUUACCAAGGCUUUGACGGGUAGCCGGCCUGAGAGGGUGACCGGCCAUAUUGGGACUGAGAUACGGCCCAGACUCCUACGGGAGGCAGCAGUGGGGAAUAUUGCACAAUGGGCGGAAGCCUGAUGCAGCAACGCCGCGUGCGGGAUGACGGCCUUCGGGUUGUAAACCGCUUUCGCCUGUGACGAAGCGUGAGUGGCGGUAAUGGGUAAAGAAGCACCGGCUAACUACGUG
rnacentral:rRNA from 1 species